GCACAGCCGAUUCAAACUCCGCCUGCGA
rnacentral:sRNA from 1 species